UUUGGUUAAGUUAGAAAGGGCGCACGGUGGAUGCCUUGACACUAGGAGUCGAUGAAGGACGGGACUAACGCCGAUAUGCUUCGGGGAGCUGUAAGUAAGCUUUGAUCCGAAGAUUUCCGAAUGGGGAAACCCACCAUACGCAAUGGUAUGGUAUCCUUAUCUGAAUACAUAGGGUAAGGAAGACAGACCCAGGGAACUGAAACAUCUAAGUACCUGGAGGAAGAGAAAGCAAAUGCGAUUUCCUGAGUAGCGGCGAGCGAAACGGAACAUAGCCCAAACCAAGAGGCUUGCCUCUUGGGGUUGUAGGACAUUCUAUACGGAGUUACAAAGGAACGAGGUAGACGAAGCGACCUGGAAAGGUCCGUCGUAGAGGGUAACAACCCCGUAGUCGAAACUUCGUUCUCUCUUGAAUGUAUCCUGAGUACGGCGGAACACGUGAAAUUCCGUCGGAAUCUGGGAGGACCAUCUCCCAAGGCUAAAUACUCCUUAGUGAUCGAUAGUGAACCAGUACCGUGAGGGAAAGGUGAAAAGCACCCCGGAAGGGGAGUGAAAGAGAUCCUGAAACCGUGUGCCUACAAAUAGUCAGAGCCCGUUAACGGGUGAUGGCGUGCCUUUUGUAGAAUGAACCGGCGAGUUACGAUCCCGUGCGAGGUUAAGCUGAAGAGGCGGAGCCGCAGCGAAAGCGAGUCUGAAUAGGGCGUUUAGUACGUGGUCGUAGACCCGAAACCAGGUGAUCUACCCAUGUCCAGGGUGAAGUUCAGGUAACACUGAAUGGAGGCCCGAACCCACGCACGUUGAAAAGUGCGGGGAUGAGGUGUGGGUAGCGGAGAAAUUCCAAUCGAACCUGGAGAUAGCUGGUUCUCCCCGAAAUAGCUUUAGGGCUAGCCUUAAGUGUAAGAGUCUUGGAGGUAGAGCACUGAUUGGACUAGGGGUCCUCAUCGGAUUACCGAAUUCAGUCAAACUCCGAAUGCCAAUGACUUAUCCUUAGGAGUCAGACUGCGAGUGAUAAGAUCCGUAGUCAAAAGGGAAACAGCCCAGACCGCCAGCUAAGGUCCCAAAGUGUGUAUUAAGUGGAAAAGGAUGUGGAGUUGCUUAGACAACUAGGAUGUUGGCUUAGAAGCAGCCACCAUUUAAAGAGUGCGUAAUAGCUCACUAGUCGAGUGACUCUGCGCCGAAAAUGUACCGGGGCUAAAUACACCACCGAAGCUGCGGAUUGAUACCAAUGGUAUCAGUGGUAGGGGAGCGUUCUAAGGACAGUGAAGUCAGACCGGAAGGACUGGUGGAGUGCUUAGAAGUGAGAAUGCCGGUAUGAGUAGCGAAAGACGGGUGAGAAUCCCGUCCACCGAAUGCCUAAGGUUUCCUGAGGAAGGCUCGUCCGCUCAGGGUUAGUCAGGACCUAAGCCGAGGCCGACAGGCGUAGGCGAUGGACAACAGGUUGAUAUUCCUGUACCACCUCUUUAUCGUUUGAGCAAUGGAGGGACGCAGAAGGAUAGAAGAAGCGUGCGAUUGGUUGUGCACGUCCAAGCAGUUAGGCUGAUAAGUAGGCAAAUCCGCUUAUCGUAAAGGCUGAGCUGUGAUGGGGAAGCUCCUUAUGGAGCGAAGUCUUUGAUUCCCCGCUGCCAAGAAAAGCUUCUAGCGAGAUAAAAGGUGCCUGUACCGCAAACCGACACAGGUAGGCGAGGAGAGAAUCCUAAGGUGUGCGAGAGAACUCUGGUUAAGGAACUCGGCAAAAUGACCCCGUAACUUCGGGAGAAGGGGUGCUUUCUUAACGGAAAGCCGCAGUGAAUAGGCCCAAGCGACUGUUUAGCAAAAACACAGCUCUCUGCGAAGCCGUAAGGCGAAGUAUAGGGGGUGACACCUGCCCGGUGCUGGAAGGUUAAGGAGAGGGGUUAGCGUAAGCGAAGCUCUGAACUGAAGCCCCAGUAAACGGCGGCCGUAACUAUAACGGUCCUAAGGUAGCGAAAUUCCUUGUCGGGUAAGUUCCGACCCGCACGAAAGGUGUAACGAUUUGGGCACUGUCUCAACCAGAGACUCGGUGAAAUUAUAGUACCUGUGAAGAUGCAGGUUACCCGCGACAGGACGGAAAGACCCCGUGGAGCUUUACUGUAGCCUGAUAUUGAAUUUUGGUACAGUUUGUACAGGAUAGGCGGGAGCCUUUGAAACCGGAGCGCUAGCUUCGGUGGAGGCGCUGGUGGGAUACCGCCCUGACUGUAUUGAAAUUCUAACCUACGGGUCUUAUCGACCCGGGAGACAGUGUCAGGUGGGCAGUUUGACUGGGGCGGUCGCCUCCUAAAGUGUAACGGAGGCGCCCAAAGGUUCCCUCAGAAUGGUUGGAAAUCAUUCGUAGAGUGCAAAGGCAUAAGGGAGCUUGACUGCGAGACCUACAAGUCGAGCAGGGACGAAAGUCGGGCUUAGUGAUCCGGUGGUUCCGCAUGGAAGGGCCAUCGCUCAACGGAUAAAAGCUACCCCGGGGAUAACAGGCUUAUCUCCCCCAAGAGUCCACAUCGACGGGGAGGUUUGGCACCUCGAUGUCGGCUCAUCGCAUCCUGGGGCUGUAGUCGGUCCCAAGGGUUGGGCUGUUCGCCCAUUAAAGCGGUACGCGAGCUGGGUUCAGAACGUCGUGAGACAGUUCGGUCCCUAUCCGUCGUGGGCGUAGGAAAUUUGAGAGGAGCUGUCCUUAGUACGAGAGGACCGGGAUGGACGCACCGCUGGUGUACCAGUUGUUCUGCCAAGGGCAUAGCUGGGUAGCUAUGUGCGGAAGGGAUAAGUGCUGAAAGCAUCUAAGCAUGAAGCCCCCCUCAAGAUGAGAUUUCCCAUAGCGUAAGCUAGUAAGAUCCCUGAAAGAUGAUCAGGUUGAUAGGUUCGAGGUGGAAGCAUGGUGACAUGUGGAGCUGACGAAUACUAAUAGAUCGAGGACUUAACCAUAUAA
rnacentral:rRNA from 1 species